AAGUCGUAACAAGGUUUCCGUAGGUGAACCUGCGGAAGGAUCAUUAACGUAGAAAAAAGAUUUGGUAAGUCCGGACCUUUAACCGGGGAUGGCUUCCAACAUCUCUACACCACUUGUUGUGCUCUUAUAUAUUGUCUUUGGUGGUUAAACUCAAAUGUAAGCUUCGUGUUUGCAUACUGAGGAACCCGUCUUGUUUACGCAAGACCAACUCGUGUCAUCUUUGUUUUUGCAGAUUUGACGACAAGUAGAUUUCGGUUGUACUGAGAUUUACUUGGAAGAGGGGCCACCGCUUUUAUUAAACUAUAUGUCUGUAUUUAUCUCUUUUUGUUGAAAUAUUCAAAAACAUUUUAACAAAAAACAACUUUUGACAACGGAUCUCUUGGCUCUC
rnacentral:misc_RNA from 1 species